rnacentral:rRNA from 1 species
CAGCAGUCGCCGCGGUAAUACGAAGGGUGCAAACGUUGCUCGGAAUUAUUGGGCGUAAGGCGCACGUAGGCGGCUCCGCAAGUCGGAUGUGAAAUCCCUCGGCUUAACCAAGGAAGUGCAUCCGAAACUGCAGAGCUUGAGUACUUAAGAGGAUCGCGGAAUUCCCGGUGUAGAGGUGAAAUUCGUAGAUAUCGGGAGGAACACCAGUGGCGAAGGCGGCGAUCUGGGAAGAUACUGACGCUGAGGUGCGAAAGCGUGGGGAGCAAACAGGAUUAGAUACCCCAGUAGUCCCUGUCUCUUAUAC